UUCAGUGUCCUGAUGUCUUUGGUCUGGAGUGGGGGUGGAGUCCACAAAGCCUGUAUGGAGUGUGCUCAGGACAUCCUUUCCCUGCGGCAGGCUGCACCUCCCAUGCUGUCUCUUGACAUGGUCCGGGCAUUGGGGGAGACUCCUGAGAAGAAGGGAGUCUGUGCUCCCCCGAAGAGGGAAAGUUGUACUUCCCAGAAAGAGGAGUUCUUGUACUUCCCAAAGAAGAUCUGAACUAGCAGUGUGGAGAGCACUCUGGACAGCAGACUCCAGGAUGCAGGUGCAAGCUGCCUCAGGCCUCUCCUGUGGACUCUUUUCACCUCUCCCAGCUCCACUUCCAGAGUCCUUAGGCAUUUGUGAGAGCAGCAGACAAUGAAUAAAUCUCUGGAACCCUUGAUCUUUAGAGAUGUGGCCAUAGAAUUCUCCCAGGAGGAGCAGGACUGCCUGGACCAGGCGCAGUGGAAAUUGUAGCAGGACAUGUUGCUAGAGACCUACAAGAACCUGGUGUCCUUGGGUGAGGAGAAUAGCCCUCCAGAUUUUCUCAUCUGCCCUCAGCAUUUCC